UGGAUAGAUUAUUGUAUUCGCCUGUAUUCACGGCGUGAAACAGGGGAUUACACUGUUUUUAAAUGGAAAGUGAAUCAAUUAACAUAAUAGACUCCU
rnacentral:pre_miRNA from 1 species